ACCAGAGUGGCGUAAUGGUUUGAGAAUGCUGGACUAUGACUCUGGAGGCCAGGGUUCGAGUCCCGCCUCAGCCA